rnacentral:snRNA from 1 species
GUGCUCGCUUCGGCAGCACAUGUACUAAAAUUGGAACGAUACAUCUUUGCCCCUGUGCAAGGAUGACAUCAAAUUCAUGAAGCGUUCCGUAUUUUU